GAUGAACGCUGGCGGCGUGCCUAAUACAUGCAAGUCGAGCGAACGGACGAGAAGCUUGCUCUUCUGAUGUUAGCGGCGGACGGGUGAGUAACACGUGGAUAACCUACCUAUAAGACUGGGAUAACUUCGGGAAACCGGAGCUAAUACCGGAUAAUAUUUUGAACCGCAUGGUUCAAAAGUGAAAGACGGUCUUGCUGUCACUUAUAGAUGGAUCCGCGCUGCAUUAGCUAGUUGGUAAGGUAACGGCUUACCAAGGCAACGAUGCAUAGCCGACCUGAGAGGGUGAUCGGCCACACCGGAACUGAGACACGGUCCAGACUCCUACGGGAGGCAGCAGUAGGGAAUCUUCCGCAAUGGGCGAAAGCCUGACGGAGCAACGCCGCGUGAGUGAUGAAGGUCUUCGGAUCGUAAAACUCUGUUAUUAGGGAAGAACAUAUGUGUAAGUAACUGUGCACAUCUUGACGGUACCUAAUCAGAAAGCCACGGCUAACUACGUG
rnacentral:rRNA from 1 species